CCUCAGUAGUUAGAUAACAAAACUACUCGCCAGAAUACUACGAGCUACAGCUUAAAACUCAAAGGACUUGACGGUGCUUUACACCCCCUAGAGGAGCCUGUUCCGUAAUCGAUAAACCCCGAUCCACCCCACCCUCUCUUGCUCAGCCUAUAUACCGCCAUCUUCAGCAAACCCUAAUGAAGGUCACAAAGUGAGCGCAAACGCCGUCACCGCGAGUACGUUAGGUCAAGGUGUAGCCUAUGAGAUGGUAAAAAAUGGGCUACAUUUUCUACCUCAGAAAAUUCCACGAAAACCCUUAUGAAAUUUAAGGGCCCAAGGAGGAUUUAGCAGUAAAUUAAGAAUAGAGUGCUUAAUUGAACCAGGCCAUAAAGCG
rnacentral:rRNA from 1 species